rnacentral:rRNA from 1 species
GAUGAACGCUGGCGGCGUGCCUAAUACAUGCAAGUCGAGCGAACAGACGAGGAGCUUGCUCCUCUGACGUUAGCGGCGGAUGGGUGAGUAACACGUGGAUAACCUACCUAUAAGACUGGGAUAACUUCGGGAAACCGGAGCUAAUACCGGAUAACAUGUUGAACCGCAUGGUUCAACAGUGAAAGACGGUCUUGCUGUCACUUAUAGAUGGAUCCGCGCCGCAUUAGCUAGUUGGUAAGGUAACGGCUUACCAAGGCAACGAUGCGUAGCCGACCUGAGAGGGUGAUCGGCCACACUGGAACUGAAACACGGUCCAGACUCCUACGGGAGGCAGCAGUAGGGAAUCUUCCGCAAUGGGCGAAAGCCUGACGGAGCAACGCCGCGUGAGUGAAGAAGGUCUUCGGAUCGUAAAACUCUGUUAUUAGGGAAGAACAAAUGUGUAAGUAACUAUGCACGUCUUGACGGUACCUAAUCAGAAAGCCACGGCUAACUACGUG